UGGGGAAUAUUGCACAAUGGGCGAAAGCCUGAUGCAGCAACGCCGCGUGAGUGAUGAAGGCCUUCGGGUUGUAAAGCUCUGUCUUUUGGGACGAUAAUGACGGUACCAAAGGAGGAAGCCACGGCUAACUACGUGCCAGCAGCCGCGGUAAUACGUAGGUGGCAAGCGUUGUCCGGAUUUACUGGGCGUAAAGGAUGCGUAGGCGGAUUUUUAAGUGAGAUGUGAAAUACCCGGGCUUAACUUGGGUGCUGCAUUUCAAACUGGGAAUCUAGAGUGCGGGAGAGGAGAAUGGAAUUCCUAGUGUAGCGGUGAAAUGCGUAGAGAUUAGGAAGAACACCAGUGGCGAAGGCGAUUCUCUGGACCGUAACUGACGCUGAGGCAUGAAAGCGUGGGUAGCAAACAGGAUUAGAUACCCUGGUAGUCCACGCCGUAAACGAUGAGUACUAGGUGUAGGAGGUAUCGACCCCCUCUGUGCCGCAGUUAACACAAUCAAGUACUCCGCCUGGGAAGUACGAUCGCAAGA
rnacentral:rRNA from 1 species